rnacentral:rRNA from 1 species
GACGAACGCUGGCGGCGUGCCUAAUACAUGCAAGUCGAACGAGUGGCGGACGGGUGAGUAACACGUGGGUAACCUACCCACAGAGGGGGAUAACACUUGGAAACAGGGUCUAAUACCGAAUACAGGGGGAUGGGCUCGCGGCCUAUCAGCUUGUUGGUGGGGUGAUGGCCUACCAAGGCGGUGACGGGUAGCCGGCCUGAGCGGGUAACCGGCAACAGUGGGACUGAGCAGCCGCCCAGGGUCGGACGGGGGGCAGCAGUGGGGGAUAUGGCACAAUGGGUGAAAGCCUGAUGCAGCGACGCCGCGUGGGGGAUGAGGGCUUUCGGGUUGUAAACCUAUGUCGCAAUCGAAGGGGUAGCUGGAGAAGAAGCACCGGCUAACUCCGUGCCAGCAGCCGCGGUAAUAC